rnacentral:rRNA from 1 species
CGGAGGAUCCAAGCGUUAUCCGGAAUCAUUGGGUUAAAGGGUCCGUAGGCGGUUUUGUAAGUCAGUGGUGAAAGCCCAUCGCUCAACGGUGGAACGGCCAUUGAUACUGCAAGACUUGAAUUAUUGGGAAGUAACUAGAAUAUGUAGUGUAGCGGUGAAAUGCUUAGAGAUUACAUGGAAUACCAAUUGCGAAGGCAGGUUACUACCAAUAUAUUGACGCUGAUGGACGAAAGCGUGGGGAGCGAACAGGAUUAGAUACCCUGGUAGUCCACGCCGUAAACGAUGGAUACUAGCUGUUCGGAGCAAUCUGAGUGGCUAAGCGAAAGUGAUAAGUAUCCCACCUGGGGAGUACGUUCGCAAGAAUG